CAGUCGCCGCGGUAAUACGAAGGGUGCAAGCGUUACUCGGAUUUACUGGGCGUAAAGCGUGCGUAGGCGGCUUUUUAAGUCGGAUGUGAAAUCCCUGAGCUUAACUUAGGAAUUGCAUUCGAUACUGGGAAGCUAGAGUAUGGGAGAGGAUGGUAGAAUUCCAGGUGUAGCGGUGAAAUGCGUAGAGAUCUGGAGGAAUACCGAUGGCGAAGGCAGCCAUCUGGCCUAAUACUGACGCUGAGGUACGAAAGCAUGGGGAGCAAACAGGAUUAGAUACCCCCGUAGUCCCUGUCUCUUAUAA
rnacentral:rRNA from 1 species